rnacentral:lncRNA from 1 species
GGUCCUUAUCGAAGGUUUUGUAGGUGCUAAUAUAGGGAUUGCAUGUUAUUGAAGGACAAAAAUUGCUCCCUCAAUGUCUUCUUCAUUUUCUCUUAAUCUUAGAUUUUUGGCUUGCCUCUGUGCUUCCUGAUUUUCUUCAGUUAUUGCUACCAGGCAAAAGCCCGACCUGUCAGCUUCAGUGUAAUAAGCUUCACCUUCUUGUCAUUUGGGAUCUCCUUGUACUCGAAGAUAUACUCAAUUUGAUC